AAUCUCUUAUCUUCCCCGUAUGUGUUAUAUAAUAUACAUUUUCCGUCGCCAUAGACACACAUACACACACACACACACACAUACAAUUUCCACUAUAUACGUAUUAUAAUCCAACGGGUCCCAUUUCCGAGAAUCUAGAACGAAAAACUGAAUAUGACAGCAGCACCGCGCACAUACCGCAAUGUGUUUCUUGCCUGUAAGAAAUGUAUUGUUCUCGGUUUUCCUGUUCGCUCAUGUAUAGAGAGCGUCAACAGAUUUUUGUCGGUAUUGGAUCGUUAGUAGUAGUACUACUACAAACCUACGCACACGUCUCUCCGCUCUCGUUAAAUUUUUUUCCCAGUUUAAUUAUUUUUGUUACCAAUUUUCGGCUCGUAACGAUUCGAUCGUUAGUAAUAAUACUUCCCAAAACUCACGCAUUCGUUAAAUUGUUUUAUUAUUAAUCUACGUGUUUUUAUUUUACAUAAUAUGUUCGCCUGUACAUUCGUUGGUUGCACUUAAGUU